AACGAACGCUGGCGGCAUGCCUAACACAUGCAAGUCGAACGAGACCUUCGGGUCUAGUGGCGCACGGGUGCGUAACGCGUGGGAACCUGCCCUUAGGUUCGGAAUAACUCAGAGAAAUUUGAGCUAAUACCGGAUAAUGUCUUCGGACCAAAGAUUUAUCGCCUUUGGAUGGGCCCGCGUAGGAUUAGCUUGUUGGUGGGGUAAUGGCCUACCAAGGCGACGAUCCUUAGCUGGUCUGAGAGGAUGAUCAGCCACACUGGGACUGAGACACGGCCCAGACUCCUACGGGAGGCAGCAGUGGGGAAUAUGGGACAAUGGGCGAAAGCCUGAUCCAGCAAUGCCGCGUGAGUGAUGAAGGCCUUAGGGUUGUAAAGCUCUUUUACCAGGGAUGAUAAUGACAGUACCUGGAGAAUAAGCUCCGGCUAACUCCGU
rnacentral:rRNA from 1 species